rnacentral:rRNA from 1 species
AACGAACGCUGGCGGCAUGCCUAACACAUGCAAGUCGAACGAGACCUUCGGGUCUAGUGGCGCACGGGUGCGUAACGCGUGGGAACCUGCCCUUAGGUUCGGAAUAACUCCCCGAAAGGGGUGCUAAUACCGGAUAAUGUCUUCGGACCAAAGAUUUAUCGCCUUUGGAUGGGCCCGCGUUGGAUUAGCUAGUUGGUAGGGUAAAAGCCUACCAAGGCGACGAUCCAUAGCUGGUCUGAGAGGAUGAUCAGCCACACUGGGACUGAGACACGGCCCAGGCUGCGAAGGGAGGGAGCAGUGGGGAAUCUUCCGCAAUGGGCGAAAGGUUGACGGAGAAACGCCGCGUGGGUGAUGAACGUCUUCGGAUCGUAAAACUCUGUUAUUAGGGAAGAAAAAAUGUGUAAGUAACUAUGCACGUCUGGACGGGACCUAAUCAGAAAGCAACGGCGAACUACGUG